UACAGAGGGGGCAAGCGUUGUUCGGAAUUACUGGGCGUAAAGGGCGCGUAGGCGGCCUGCUAAGUCGAACGUGAAAUCCCUGGGCUCAACCCAGGAACUGCGUCCGAUACUGGUUGGCUUGAAUCCGGGAGAGGGAUGCGGAAUUCCAGGUGUAGCGGUGAAAUGUGUAGAUAUCUGGAGGAACACCGGUGGCGAAGGCGGCAUCCUGGACCGGCAUUGACGCUGAGGCGCGAAAGCCAGGGGAGCAAACGGG
rnacentral:rRNA from 1 species